rnacentral:rRNA from 1 species
GACGAACGCUGGCGGCGCGCCUAACACAUGCAAGUCGAACGGAGUUUGAGAGAGCUUGCUUUUUCAAACUUAGUGGCGAACGGGUGAGUAACGCGUGAGUAACCUGCCCUGGAGUGGGGGACAACAGUUGGAAACGACUGCUAAUACCGCAUAAUGCUUCCGGUCCGCAUGGACUGGAAACCAAAGCUUUAUGUGCUGAAAGAUGGCCUCGCGUCUGAUUAGAUAGUUGGUGGGGUAACGGCCUACCAAGUCAACGAUCAGUAGCCGGUCUGAGAGGAUGAACGGCCACAUUGGGACUGAGAUACGGCCCAG